ACCAAGCACAAGUUUCAACCACGAAAUGAGUGGGCAGUCGAUCGGGCCACCAAGGCCUGAAAUGUAAGGAAACAAUGCCAUGGAUGGAGGCUCAGGCUAAAAAGUGAUCCCGAUCCUCAUAACCCAAAGGAAAUCCAACACCAAGCUCGAAUACAUUAAGGUUGAAGGGCACAGGCUCAACUCGUUGUACGUACGAAUGUCACAACCCGAAAGGUAAAACAAUAGAAGCUUCAAAAGUUCAGGCACAAAAAAGCCGGGAAAAGGCGCCACUGCGAAUCGUCGUCAUCCAAAACUCGUCCGUGCCAUCUUUGUUUAUAUGGAGCGACUACAAUUGCCUACUGGUCAAGCAAGCGAUGCCCUUAAUUAAGGGCCAUAAGGGGGAUACGAAUGUUCCCAGUAAAUGAGGAAGCCAGCUGUGUACCUAGCGAAAUAACGAAGGAAUUUUUGUGGGAAUGGACGCACGUAUGAACGCCACAAUUGACGCGGCUUCUACGUUUCCGAGAAAAUACGGUGCUUCCACAUAGGUUCAUUUAGGCCGACUGAAAAUACAUAAACAAGGUACAGCUGUUGCUGCUCUGCACAACACGAACGUUUGCGCUGUCGGCAGCGUCGGAGGAGGUGCGAAGUUGAUGCCUCUUUUGAUUGCUUUGACCGUUUCGAGGAGAAGUUCUAAUAAUGAGAUGAUUAAUAAUAAUAAUAAUAAAACAAGUAGAG
rnacentral:lncRNA from 1 species